rnacentral:miRNA from 1 species
UGCCUUCCCCGGCCUCCCACAG